GCGAAGACAAAAAAAAAGCAAAAUAAAUACAUGAUUUAGCCAAAGACCCAAGUCCUAGCAUCGCUUUUAGUGCAACAUAUUAGAGAAGCAUAACGUAUUCCUAACGAUGGCUGCUUUUAGCAGUACGUUAAAAGAAGUACACUGAAUAGGUGUGGUGUAGUACGGCCCUUGUACCUGGACAACUGGGAAAAAAUAUGACAAAGAAAACAGUUUUCAUAACAGUUUCGAAGCCGAACCGAUAGGACGCCCCUGUAAUCCAAGCCCAAAGACCAGAUGAUCGUUUCUUGCCGCGAGAAAUACCUUUCUUUCCCAGCGGAUCGCCUGUUGUUUAUAGGAGUAAAUUGCUGGAGGUGUGUUCGAUGCGUGCAGAACCCCAACGGAAGGUCCGGUAAAGCAAAAUGAGUAAGGAAUGCAUGCAAAAUCAGCCUGGAAGAACAAUAGGAAAAAUCACGGACACGACAGAACAUGACGCGGUAAAUAACCGCUUCAUCCAAAAGAAGGUUCCAGGCACGCGGGUUUGUUUAUCGUGUCGCUCGGUAUUCACAGAAUCUCUCCCCAAUGACAUCAUUCUACACUAUCUACGAGUGCGGCAUGAACCGUGCUGCCGCUGCUUGUAUUGCAAUGGACCUAUGUACCGCUACAGGGACAGCAAGGACAAUUUGCAAUUCUACCAUGACUGUCAGCGAUCAAAGCGCCUUUUGGAUAAUCCCUGAAAAAGACAACAGUUGCAGAACCUAAUAUUCCAAAAUCCCGGGUUUUAAAGCAAUAAAAUACAUUUUUUAAA